GUUGAACGCUGGAGGUAUGCUUAACACAUGCAAGUCGAACGGUAACAGGCCGCUGUGAUUACUUCGGUAUGAACUUGGCGCUGACGAGUGGCGGACGGGUGAGUAACGCGUAGGAAUAUACCUAGUAGUGGGGGAUAACAUGAAGAAAUUCAUGCUAAUACCGCAUAUGUUCUAUGGAAUAAAGAGGGCCUCUUCUUGAAAGCUCUUGCUAUUAGAUUAGCCUGCGUCGGAUUAGCUUGUUGGUGAGGUAAUGGCUCACCAAGGCGACGAUCCGUAGCUGGUCUGAGAGGAUGAUCAGCCACACUGGGACUGAGACACGGCCCAG
rnacentral:rRNA from 1 species